rnacentral:rRNA from 1 species
AACGUAGGGGGCGAGCGUUAUCCGGAUUUAUUGGGCGUAAAGCGCGUGCAGGCGGCUUUCUAAGUCGGACGUGAAAUCUUUCGGCUUAACCGGAAGGGGUCGUGCGAUACUGGGAGGCUUGAGGUCGGGAGAGGGAAGUGGAAUUCCCGGUGUAGUGGUGGAAUGCGUAGAUAUCGGGAGGAACACCAGUGGCGAAGGCGGCUUCCUGGCCCGCACCUGACGCUAAGACGCGAAAGCGUGGGGAGCAAACGGGAUUAGAUACCCCCGUA